AACGAACGCUGGCGGCAGGCCUAACACAUGCGAGUCGAGCGCGCCCUUCGGGGUGAGCGGCGGACGGGUGAGUAACGCGUGGGAACGUGCCCUUCUCUGCGGAAUAGCCUCGGGAAACUGAGAGUAAUACCGCAUACGCCCUUUGGGGGAAAGAUUUAUCGGAGAAGGAUCGGCCCGCGUUGGAUUAGGUAGUUGGUGGGGUAAUGGCCCACCAAGCCGACGAUCCAUAGCUGGUUUGAGAGGAUGAUCAGCCACACUGGGACUGAGACACGGCCCAGACUCCUACGGGAGGCAGCAGUGGGGAAUCUUAGACAAUGGGGGCAACCCUGAUCUAGCCAUGCCGCGUGAGUGAUGAAGGCCUUAGGGUUGUAAAGCUCUUUCAGCUGGGAAGAUAAUGACGGUACCAGCAGAAGAAGCCCCGGCUAACUCCGUG
rnacentral:rRNA from 1 species